CCCCUCUCAGAAUCACACCUGGAGAGUUUUCAGUGUUUUUUCAGUCUCAACUUCAGGAGGGAAAGUCAAGCAGAGGCAUACCCAUUCCAUUCCUAGCUUGGGCGGUAGCUAGAGAGUGGAAGGCAAUCUGCUACAAGU